UCUCUUUCCCCGCGCGCACUCAGUCCCUAUAUUCCGCUUGCCGUCCGCAAGGUCGGCUAUGGCGAUAAACGGACGUCGGAAUAAGCCUUUCGGACCCGGGGGCGGUACCCGGCGCCUCCACCACAGCCCUGCGGCGCGAGCGGCAGGGACUUGCAGCCGUCAGGCUGCAGGGCUGCGGCGGGGGCGAAAUAGGAUCGACGAGGGUGUAAAGGUCGUUCUUUUGCUCGGCAUGGUUCCGCCGUUAUCGGGCCAAAAGCAUAGUUGCCAACGACAACAAUGCUCGGGUUGCUGUCGCCGCGUAAGCGGUGCUGGUUCCCAAACCAAAGCCCUUGCGUUUAGCCGCGUAAGGCGGGGCUCGGAGGCGCCUGGCAACAGAAGCCUCCACU
rfam:Bosea sp. Root483D1 contig_4, whole genome shotgun sequence.